CGUGAGUGAAGAGGGCGUUCGGGUUGUAAAGCUCUUUCGCAAGGGAAGAGAACCUUAGUCUCUAACAUAGAAUGAGGUUGACGGUACCUUGAUAAGAAGCACCGGCUAACUACGUGCCAGCAGCCGCGGUAAUACGUAGGGUGCGAGCGUUAAUCGGAAUUACUGGGCGUAAAGCGUGCGCAGGCGGUUUUGUAAGUCAGAUGUGAAAUCCCCGAGCUCAACUUGGGAACUGCGUUUGAAACUACAAGACUAGAAUAUGUCAGAGGGGGGUAGAAUUCCACGUGUAGCAGUGAAAUGCGUAGAGAUGUGGAGGAAUACCAAUGGCGAAGGCAGCCCCCUGGGAUAAUAUUGACGCUCAUGCACGAAAGCGUGGGGAGCAAACA
rnacentral:rRNA from 1 species